AUUCAGCGCUGCAGUGGUAGGUUAUAAAAAUACCAAAAAAAAACAUCAACAAGACACUAAUAUAUGACAGAUGUUCAACACUGACAUUUUGUUUUGAUAAUCAUAUCAAUAUUAUAUAAUUUAUCCAAAUUCAAUUAAUUCCAAGAAACAAAAAAGUACAUAAAUUAAAAUCAUGAGUGAGACCAGGACCAGCUACACAGAUUGGGCGAUCCGUGCUGGUGUAUGUGGGACAAUAGCCUUUUUUGGAGUUCCAAUGAUAGUCAAAGCUGUUGGUUUCAAAUCAGCAGGUAUCCUCGCAGGAUCAAAAGCAGCUGGUGUAAUGUCAGCAAUGGCAACUGGUGGAACAACUGCUUCUGGAGGAGUAGUUGCAAGUUGUCAAAGUAUUGGUGCAGUCGGGGCAAUUGCCAAAAAAACAGCUGUUGUAAUUGGUUUAAUGAUGGUACCUCUUGCAGCAUCAGUGCCAUCGGUUGAAGAUUGCAAACCUAAAGCAUCAAAAGCAUAUGAUUUGGCAAAGAGUGGAGCUGGUGGUGCAGUUUCUCUGACAAAGUAUGCUUACUCUACACAUGCACCUCAAGUAUAUGAGUUAGCAAAGAGUGGAGUUAAUCAAGUUGGUAAUCUUGCAAGUGGUGCUGCUUCAUUGACAAAGUCAGUUUACUCUUUAAUAACUUCAUCUAGGUGAAUAACAAAAAUGUUGUAUUUUCUUACUAAACUUAAAUACUCUUUUAAAAAAAUAAAUAUUUAUCAAUCAUUAAUUUAAUAUGACCUGCUUUUUCAAUCAAUUCCAUCAAUAAUCAAUCUGCAGUGUUAUCAUUUGAAAAAAUUUUAUUUAUCAUGUUAUAAUUAUCAAGAAGUAGCUGAAAUUAAAACUCCGGAUGUACUUGUAUGUUUUUUAUAUGAUUAUUUUGAUAAAUAAUUGUGUUAACGUUUAUUGAAUGAUUAAAUAAUCUCGAGAAAAAAAAGAAAAAGAAACAUAAGUACAGCCAAGUAAUAAAAACACCAUGACAAAUGUUUCCUUGAAUAAAAAUAAUAAACACAAUUAUAUGCUUUGAUAUAGAGUUACGAUUAAUACUGCUGCUGCGGCGGUUCCUUGUUGAACACAGUCAGGACCACCAACAAUCAAAUUAUUUUCAGGGUAAUAUGACUCCAAUUAAAUGAUACGAUUAUUAUGCGAAUUUUAUUUUGAUAAACCAAUCUGAAAAAUUCUUGUAAAUUGAACUGUUGGAGUGGUUGGUCUUGGUUUCCAGUAAAUUCUUAGUCAUUCACAAGUUAAAAGUUAAAACUGGGAUUCCCAGUUUGAUUGGAGACCCUGAGUGGGGUGAUGCCUAGACCUAUAUAAACUACUCCUCUGGCUCUCAAAGGACACAAUCAAAAUCAACGUCAAAGUCGAUAAAUCAACAUCUUAAAAAAAAAAAAUUAAAAUGUCUAAAGGUCAACAAAACACUCAACAAGGUGGCAAAGGUGGUGGCCUUGGAUUCGGAACUCAAGGGAUCAAAGCUGACUCUCAGGCUGCUGGCAUAAUGCGUGAAGGUGCUGUCAAGGGAGAAGUGCCUAAAGGAGGCAUAGUCUCUCAGUUGCAGUCUCAUGGUGCUAAAAAACCAUUUUAAACACCAACUUAUAUUAUCUUACAUCAAUAUACAUGGCACAACUCAUUCCAAUUUAUUAUUAUUUACAUUAAUAAACUUUUUUUUUACAAAUCUUUGAAAUUAACUAUUCAAACAUUCAUAUUAUUGAAAAUGUAAACUUUUCUUUUUUUAAAUUGAUAUAAUAAUAAAAAUGAAAUAAAAAACAAUAAUUAAAUAA